AUGGACAAUAAGUGCCACAGUGACUUAGUGAAGUGUUUAGAGAAAGUGGAAGCCAAAGCUGAACAAGUCGCAUUCAAGAAGGGCCGAAGCAAGAACUGCAAACCCACGAUGGCAAUCGAAACUAUGAAAGAGGGUAUG
rnacentral:ribozyme from 1 species